rnacentral:ncRNA from 2 species
UGUCCAGAUAAUUUAUCAGGUUUUGCUGUUGCAAACAGGGAAUCCCGUGAAAAUCGGGAGCGGGCCCGCCGCUGUAAUCGGGGACGAACACUGCAAACAUGUCACUGGAUAUUAAUAUCUGGGAAGGCGCAGUCAGUAGAAUGAUCCGAAAGUCAGAAGACCUGCCUGGUGAAGAAAAGCAAU